GAUGAACGCUGGCGGCGUGCCUAAUACAUGCAAGUCGAGCGAACAGACGAGGAGCUUGCUCCUCUGACGUUAGCGGCGGACGGGUGAGUAACACGUGGAUAACCUACCUAUAAGACUGGGAUAACUUCGGGAAACCGGAGCUAAUACCGGAUAAUAUAUUGAACCGCAUGGUUCAAUAGUGAAAGACGGUUUUGCUGUCACUUAUAGAUGGAUCCGCGCCGCAUUAGCUAGUUGGUAAGGUAACGGCUUACCAAGGCAACGAUGCGUAGCCGACCUGAGAGGGUGAUCGGCCACACUGGAACUGAGACACGGUCCAGACUCCUACGGGAGGCAGCAGUAGGGAAUCUUCCGCAAUGGGCGAAAGCCUGACGGAGCAACGCCGCGUGAGUGAUGAAGGUCUUCGGAUCGUAAAACUCUGUUAUUAGGGAAGAACAAAUGUGUAAGGAACUAUGCACUUCUUGACGGUACCUAAUCAGAAAGCCACGGCUAACUACGUG
rnacentral:rRNA from 1 species